UACGUAGGGGGCAAGCGUUGUCCGGAUUUAUUGGGCGUAAAGAGCGUGUAGGCGGCCCGAUUAGUCCGCUGUGAAAGUCCAGGGCUCAACCCUGGAAUGCCGGUGGAUUCUGUCGGGCUAGAGUCCGGAAGGGGCGAGUGGAAUUCCUGGUGUAGCGGUGAAAUGCGCAGAUAUCGGGAGGAACACCUGCGGUGUAGACGGCUUACUGGACCGUGACUGACGCUGAGGCACGAAAGCGUGGGUAGCAAACAGG
rnacentral:rRNA from 1 species